rfam:alpha proteobacterium HTCC2255 scf_1100007007381 genomic scaffold, whole genome shotgun sequence.
CAUCGGACUCAAAAAUGCCUGAUAUGCAAGCAGGUUGGGAACAAAUGUGUUCAAGCGUAAUGGCUGGGUUAUCUGGAUUAAACAUGGUUUAUGAGGCAG